rnacentral:tRNA from 1 species
GGGAGCGUUGGGCGCGUUAUCUUGACUUUUAAUCAGUAGGUCUCGGGUUCGAACCCCGACGCGCUCACCA